UGGUGCCAUAAGGACUCCGCCACAAAUGGAGUUUGAGGUCGGGUCGGGUCGGGUUUAAACUUAACUAACUUUUUCAAGAAUUUUCCAUGUGCUCGAAACAGAGGGAGUAUUGAUUGGAUAGAUUUUUAAUAAAAAAGGAAAUAUGGUAAAUAAGACAUAAUGGCUAUUAGCUACUAUCGUACAUUGAGACAGACGAGUCCACCACCUACUUCCUAAUUAUUUAAACAUACUUCUUCUUUUUUAUAUUUUUUAACAAAAUUGUUAAUAAAUUUUAUAUUCAUG
rnacentral:lncRNA from 1 species